rnacentral:rRNA from 1 species
GGUAUUUUGACUAUACGAAGGUAUUGAAAUAAGAUUUUAAAUGAGUGCUAAGAGAAUGAUUAAACAAUUAAAAGCUUUCUUUAAUUGAAUAAUUGAAUUUAAUUUUUUAGUGCAAAAGCAAAAAUAAAAAUUAGGGACAAGAAGACCCUAUGAAUUUUUAUUAAAUUUUAUAAAACUUUAUAUAAAAUUUAAUUUAAUUGGGGUGAUGGAAAAAGAAUAAAUAUCUUUUUUUUUAAAAAAAAUUGGUUCCGUUUUUAGCGAUUAAAUGAAAAAAAUACUCUAGGGAUAACAGCGUAAUAAUUUUGGAUAGUUCAUAUAGAUAAAAUAGUUUGCGACCUCGAUGUUGGAUUAGGAUUCUUUUUUGGUGAAGAAGU